rnacentral:tmRNA from 1 species
GGGGGUGAACGGUUUCGACUUCGGAUGUAGAUCGAGGUGAAGCGUGCCGAGGAAGGCGACGAUGAUCUCGUUAACCACCCGUCGCAAAAAUUCAAGCGCCGACAACAGUCCGCGCGAGUCGUACGCCCUCGCCGCCUGAGCGAGAGCUGACUCUGUCGAACCGGGGGCUCCCUCGCUCCGGACCUCGGCAUCAUUUAGAGGGAUCACCGCUCGAGCCGGUCGCGGACUCGGACGGGACAUCAAACAGCGACUGGGAUCGUCACUUCGGCUUGUUCGCGUGACCGAAGGAUCCGAGUAGAGGCAUAGCGGACUGCGCACGGAGAAGCCCUCGAAAAGCAACGGAGGACCCGGGUUCGAUUCCCGGCACCUCCACCC